AUGAUGAAUCGUGCAACAAGUAAAGCUUGGAUCGUGGCUGCUAGUGUUGGAGCUGUAGAGGCUUUGAAGGACCAAGUUGGUAUCUGCAGAUGGAACUAUACUUUAAGACAAGCUCAACAGCAUCUUAAGAACCGUGUUAGGUCAUAUUCUCAAGCGAAGAAUCUCUCUUCUUCUUCGCAUGUUGUUUGCAAAUUCAAGGAUGAGAAGAAGGCAAAGCAGGCAGAGGAGUCAUUGAGGACUGUCAUGUUCUUGAGCUGCUGGGGUCCUAAUUGA